rnacentral:tRNA from 1 species
UCCCUGGUGGCUCAGAUAGUAAAGAAUCUGCCUGCAAUGCAGGAGACCCAGGUUCAACUCCUAGGUUGGGAA